UCCAUGAAUUUAGGAAUUUGCUAGGAUUGGAACGAUACAGAGAAGAUUAGCACGGCCCCUGUGCAAGGAUGACACACAAAAUCAUGAAGCAUUCCAUAUUAAA
ensembl:snRNA U6 U6 spliceosomal RNA